rnacentral:rRNA from 1 species
UCCGUAGGUGAACCUGCGGUUUAUUGAACAAAUUUCUUUGGUGGCGGGAGCAAUCCUACCGCCAGCAGGUUAUAACUAAACCAAACUUUUUAUUUACAGUCAAACUUGAUUUAUUAUUACAAUAGUCAAAACUUUCAACAACGGAUCUCUUGGUUCUCGCAUCGAUGAAGAACGCAGCGAAAUGCGAUACGUAAUAUGAAUUGCAGAUAUUCGUGAAUCAUCGAAUCUUUGAACGCACAUUGCGCCCUUUGGUAUUCCAAAGGGCAUGCCUGUUUGAGCGUCAUUUCUCCCUCAAACCCCCGGGUUUGGUGUUGAGCAAUACGCUAGGUUUGUUUGAAAGAAUUUAACGUGGAAACUUAUUUUAAGCGACUUAGGUUUAUCCAAAAACGUUAAUUUUGCUAUGGGCCACCACAUUUUAUUUCAUAACUUUAACUUCAAUUCAGGUAGGAUUCCCCGCUAAAUUUAACCUUUUCAUUAACGGGAGGGAAAAGG